GAAAGAUUUCACCAUUUGACAUAUACAACUUUUCCAAUUACCCUGUGAGAGUAUCAACAUGAAUCUCAAAAUUCCUGGUGCACUGAAAAGAAUUUACACAGUUUGUUUCAGAGGCAAUCAAUUUAAUCACAAAAAAUGCCAGCUGCCCAUACCUCGGAUACAGAGCUAUCCAAACCAAGGAACCAUCAAAUUGGCCACAGUACAACUUCUACCAAAUCUAAAGCUGCUUUCCUUCAGAGUGUCGAAGAAUUUCCUGUAUUUCAGUUUUGCAAGGCCAGGGACUGACCUGCUAGAGUUCAUUGAACUUUGUAGCGAUGAGGUAUAAUGCAGUUGGGUAUUGUUAUAGUAAAAAGUCGUUGAAACUUUUUUACAUUAACGAACUCUUUUUUAAAGUGAAUGAUUACGUAUGUAUUUUUAAGGUUGUUUAUAUACAGCCCAUUGUUUUUAGCUACUGUCUCAAUGCUUGAUAGAAUAAAGAAAUACAGCCAUGGAUUACAUAUCUAUCUCAAUACUUUUAGCAAUAAAACUAGUCUACUACUUCAUAGCUGGUUCCAUAAACCAUUUUCUGAAAAUUCAGUUCGGGAUAGAACUUUAACAUCUUUUACUAUAACAAUGCUAAACAAAUAUAUAUAAAUGGUAAUGAUAAGUGUAAUUGUUUGUUUGUACAUAGUCCAUGUUAUUGACUUGUGUGAGUUUCAUAUAAUUUGGUAAAUAUACAAAUAAUUGGUUUCUCCAGUUAGUAAAUACUUGUCGUGUAAUGUUUCGUCCGUGUCACUGUUCACCUCGUAUUGUUAACGUAAGUGUAUUGUUAUGUCAGAAAAUAAAAUAAUUUCAAAUUAA